rnacentral:rRNA from 1 species
CCUUAGGCAAAUCCGGGAUCACUUACGCCGAGCACCGAGACGAGUCCUAUGAGGACGAAGUGACUGACACCACGCUUCCAGGAAAAGCCACUAAGCUUCAGCUUAAGAAAAACCGUACCGCAAACCGACACAGGUAGGCAGGGUGAGAAUCCCAAGGCGCUUGAGAGAACUCGGGUGAAGGAACUAGGCAAAAUGGCACCGUAACUUCGGGAGAAGGUGCGCCCUUUGGUGUGGUCACGUGCGUGACUGAGCAUCGAAGGGUCGCAGUAACCUGGCCGCUGCGACUGUUUAUCAAAAACACAGCACUCUGCAAACACGAAAGUGGACGUAUAGGGUGUGACGCCUGCCCGGUGCUGGAAGGUUAAUUGAUGGGGCCAGCCGCAAGGCGAAGCUCUUGAUCGAAGCCCCAGUAAACGGCGGCCGUAACAAUAACGGUCCUAAGGUAGCGAAAUUCCUUGUCGGGUAAGUUCCGACCUGCACGAAUGGCGUAACGACAGCGGCGCUGUCUCCACCCGAGACUCAGUGAAAUUGAAAUUGCUGUGAAGAUGCAGCGUUCCCGCGGCAAGACGGAAAGACCCCGUGAACCUUUACUAUAGCUUUACACUGAACGUUGAGUUCUUCUGUGUAGGAUAGGUGGGAGGCUAUGAAACCAGGACGCUAGUUCUGGUGGAGCCAUCCUUGAAAUACCACCCUGAAGUGCUUGACGUUCUAACCUAGGCCCGUAAUCCGGGUCAGGGACCGUGUAUGGUGGGUAGUUUGACUGGGGCGGUCUCCUCCCAAAGAGUAACGGAGGAGCACGAAGGUACGCUCAGCGCGGUCGGACAUCGCGCACUGUGUGCAAAGGCAUAAGCGUGCUUGACUGCGAGAUCGACGGAUCAAGCAGGUACGAAAGUAGGUCUUAGUGAUCCGGUGGUUCUGUAUGGAAGGGCCAUCGCUCAACGGAUAAAAGGUACUCCGGGGAUAACAGGCUGAUACCGCCCAAGAGUUCAUAUCGACGGCGGUGUUUGGCACCUCGAUGUCGGCUCAUCACAUCCUGGGGCUGUAGCCGGUCCCAAGGGUAUGGCUGUUCGCCAUUUAAAGUGGUACGCGAGCUGGGUUCAGAACGUCGUGAGACAGUUCGGUCCCUAUCUGUCGUGGGCGUUGGAGAUUUGAGGGGGGCUGCUCCUAGUACGAGAGGACCGGAGUGGACGUUCCGCUGGUGUUCGGGUUGUCAUGCCCAUGGCAUUGCCCGGUAGCUACGAACGGAAGUGAUAACCGCUGAAAGCAUCUAAGCGGGAAGCACGCCCCAAGAUGAGAUCUCCCGAGAGCG